GACCUCAAAUCAGGUAGGACUACCCGCUGAACUUAAGCAUAUCAAUAAGCGGAGGAAAAGAAACUAACAAGGAUUCCCCUAGUAACUGCGAGUGAAGCGGGAAAAGCUCAAAUUUAAAAUCUGGUAGUCUAUGGCUGCCCGAGUUGUAAUCUAGAGAAGUGUUAUCCGCGUUGGACCGUGUACAAGUCUCCUGGAAUGGAGCGUCAUAGAGGGUGAGAAUCCCGUCUUUGACACGGACUACCAGUGCUUUGUGAUGCGCUCUCAAAGAGUCGAGUUGUUUGGGAAUGCAGCUCAAAAUGGGUGGUAAAUUCCAUCUAAAGCUAAAUAUUGGCGAGAGACCGAUAGCGAACAAGUACCGUGAGGGAAAGAUGAAAAGAACUUUGGAAAGAGAGUUAAACAGUACGUGAAAUUGCUGAAAGGGAAACGCUUGAAGUCAGUCGCGUUGUUUGGGGAUCAACCUUGCUUUUGCUGGGUGUACUUUCCAUAUGACGGGUCAGCAUCAAUUUUGACCGUUGGAUAAAGUGUAGAGAAAUGUGGCAUCUUCGGAUGUGUUAUAGUCUCUGCUCGCAUACAACGGUUGGGAUUGAGGAACUCAGUACGCCGCAAGGCCGGGAAUUUAUUCUACGUUCGUACUUAGGAUGCUGGCAUAAUGGCUUUAAUCGACCCGUCUUGAAACACGGACCAAGGAGUCUAACAUGCCUGCGAGUGUUUGGGUGGAAAACCCGAGCGCGUAAUGAAAGUGAAAGUUGAGAUCCCUGUCGUGGGGAGCAUCGACGCCCGGACCAGACCUUUUGUGACGGAUCUGCGGUAGAGCAUGUAUGUUGGGACCCGAAAGAUGGUGAACUAUGCCUGAAUAGGGUGAAGCCAGAGGAAACUCUGGUGGAGGCUCGUAGCGAUUCUGACGUGCAAAUCGAUCGUCAAAUUUGGGUAUAGGGGCGAAAGACUAAUCGAACCAUCUAGUAGCUGGUUCCU
rnacentral:rRNA from 1 species